rnacentral:rRNA from 1 species
CAACCUCAGAUCAAGUAGGAUUACCCGCUGAACUUAAGCAUAUCAAUAAGCGGAGGAUUAGCAAUCCCAUUAAGGUAGAAUUCGCUUACUGGCUUUUCUUUUAUUUAUUCUUGGGGGAAUUAAUUUUUAUUAUUAUU